rnacentral:lncRNA from 10 species
CUUAAACUCAUUCAAAGACACACUGAAUUACAUCACCACAAUCUAAUUUUAGAACAUUUUCAAUGCCCCCCAAAGAAACUCUCUGCAGGCCUGGGCAACAUAGUGAGACCCUGCCUCUAGAAAAAUUUUUUUGAUUAGCUGGGUGUGGUGGCACUCACCUGGGAGGCUGAGGUGGGAGGAUCCCAGGAGUUAGAGGCUGCAGUGAGCCAUGAUCAUGCCACUACACUUCAGCCUGGGCAACAGAGCAAGACCCUGUCUCUAUUGAAAAAAGUGGUGGGAAGUGGGGGAGAAACCCUGUGCUACAGCAGUCUUCCUGAUUCCUGCUUACCCAUCUCCUACUCCAUCCCCAGACAAUCUCUCUAUGGAUUGGCCUAUUCUGACAUUUCACAUCAGUCAUCUGUUGCUUAAUGACAGACACACAUUUGGAGAAAUGUGUCAUUAGGCAAUUUUCUUCAUGUGUACACAUCAAAGAGUGUCCUUACACAAACCUAAAUGGGACAACCUACUGCAGACCUAGGCUGUAUGACAGAACCUAUUGCUCCUCGGCUACAAACCUGUACAGCAUGCAACUCUACUCAACACUGUAAGAAACUGUAACACAGUGGUGAUUCUGAUGAACAGCAGCCUUGGAAACGACUGCCUUAGGGGACUUGCUGCUAUAAAUAAAGAAGACAGAU